AUGUGGAGGAUAUUUGGCUUCACACUUUGCGCCAAUCACCCGCCUGUCUUGCAGUUGCCUCUUCAUCUCCUGAAUAUCCAUAGGGUUGCAUUCAAUGCGCAGGCUGACUUGAAGAAUGUUGUCGCCUCCAAAAAUGCUUCAAAAUCCAUGUUAACGGAGUAUUUCAAGGCUAACCAGGAACACCCUUGGGCUAGGCAUAUAUUGUACAAGAAUUUUCCCGGAAGCUUCACAUGGCAGCAGAAAAAUAAGUCUUGGAGGCCUCGGGUUGAGCAUUUUCAAAUAGGUCGCAUAGUGUCUGCCAAUCCUGCCGAGGGGGAGCGAUACUACCUGCGCGUGUUGCUAAACCAUGUUGCGGGCAAAACAACCUUUGAAGACUUGCUCACCAUUGACAGCGUGCUAUGUGGGAGCUUUAGAGAUGCUGCUGAACGGUUGGGUCUCAUUGAGGCAGACAACACGCUCGACGACUGUCUUACCAAGGCUGAGCAGUGGGCGAUGCCAUGUUCUCUUAGGAGGCUCUUCGCUACCAUAUUGGUGCACUGCGAGCCAGGCGACAUGCACGGUUUAUGGGAUAGGCACCUCGGGUCUAUGUGAGAGGACUAUCGUCGAACACGCACGUCCCCUGACGAGGUGGAGCUGAUGGUGUUGCUUGACAUUAGGGGUAUGUUGCAGUCCAUGGGUAAAGACAUUGUUGAUUUCGCUCUUCCAAGCAUAGAUGAUGCGUUUGACCCAAUAGAGGGCGAGGCAAGAGAGGUCAUCGAGGAAUCAACCAUUGAGUUUGACAUGGAUGACACUAAAUUGGCAUCUUCCCUGAACUUGGAGCGGAGGGCCGCAUACGACGAGAUACUAGGGGCUGUUGAAUGCGGUGAUGGGGGUGUAUUCUUUGUUGAUGGCCCUGGAGGUACAGGGAAGACAUUCCUAUACAUGGCGAUGCUUGCCAAGGUGAGGAGCGAGGGCAAGAUUGGUAUCGCUACCGCGACGUCGGGCGUCUCCGCUUCUAUCAUGCCUGGCGGCAGGACAGCCCACUCAAGGUUCAAGAUCCCAUUAAGCUGCGAUGAUGGAGCCUCGUGCAGCUUCACCAAGCAGAGUGGGACCGCCAAGCUACUAAGGAUGGCGUCAUUGAUAAUAUGGGACGAGGCCAGCAUGACAAAGCAACAAGCGGUCGAGGCAUUGGACAAUAGCAUGCGCGACAUCAUGGGAAUACGCGACCAACCCUUUGGAGGAAGGCCUGUUGUUUUUGGCGGGGACUUUAGGCAGGUGCUUCCGGUCGUCAGAAGGGGGUCGCAGGGCCAAAUAGUUGAUGCAACCCUCUGAAAUUAUUUGCUAAGGGUCGGCAAUGGCACUAAGGAUGUCGACGAUCAAGGCAACAUACUACUCCCUGAAGACAUUUGUCUGCCAUCUUCAGGCGAGGUUGAAGACCUGGAGAAGCUUAUUGACCACGUGUUCCCGAGUCUAGAUGACAACAUGUCUGAUUCAAAUUACAUGACAUCUCGAGCAAUCCUUUCCACUACAAACGACAAUGUUGACAAGAUAAACAUCCGCAUGAUAGAGCGUUUUCAUGGAGAUGAAGUAAUCUACCAUAGCUUUGACAGUGCGGAGGACGACCCGUAUGGCUACUACGCUCAGGAGUUUCUGAAUGGAUUGACUCCUAACGGUCUUCCUCCGCAUGCACUCAAGCUAAAGUUGAACUGCCCUGUCAUACUGCUAAGGAACAUUGAUCCAGCUAAUGGAUUGUGUAAUGGCACUAGGCUUUUUGUUAGAGGUUUUGAGAGGAACACCAUUGAUGCAGAAAUCGUGAUUGGACAACACACUGGCAGGAGGGUCUUUCUUCCUCGAAUACCUCUCUGUCCAUCUGAAAACGACAUGUUUCCGUUCAAGUUUAAGAGGAAGCAAUUUCCUAUAAGGCUUAGCUUUGCUAUGACCAUUAACAAGGCUCAAGGGCCGACCAUCCCGAUUGUUGGUGUCUACCUACCCAAUCCCGUGUUCUCUCAUGGUUAG
rnacentral:rRNA from 1 species